ensembl:lncRNA
AUGGCACUGAGGAACAUUUCCUGGAGACACGGCGGAGCCCCCGCCGAGCAGGCUCCCGUCACCGCUGUCUGUCCCCACGCUGAAUUAAAGAUGGGAAGAAAGGAAGGGCUGUGCUCCCCCGCGUCUCUGCGGCUUAAUCUUGAAUGUAACCAAGCCAGACCUUCAGAAAGCAGGAAUUAUUGCACAUAUCACCAGGAGGCACCCAUGGAGCGAUGCUGCAGGACAAGAGGGACAGUCAUCGCCUGCUUCACCACAGCGGGAGUGAGCAUUGGUACUGCCAGCCUGACGGCUCGGGGGGGGGCUGCAGACCUCCGGAGCCCUCCCUGGUGCGAGCAGCAGUGCUGGCACCGACGUCCAUCUGCUGGGGUGGCACUUUGCCCUGCUCUCAAGCCUGCGGUGCCAGCUCUGACAAGACGCAGGACUCAGAGAAACGAUGUUCUUCUGGAAACGGCUGCUGGGUCCUGGCAACGUUCUGCACGCUGCUCCUGUUCGGCGUGA